UGAAGACUACAAGGUUGAUAGGCUGGGUGUGGAAGCGUUGUGAGGCGUUGAGCUAACCAGUACUAAUUGCCCGUGAGGCUUGACCAUAUAAUCCA
rnacentral:rRNA from 1 species